AUUGAACGCUGGCGGCAUGCCUUACACAUGCAAGUCGAACGGUAACAGGUCUUCGGAUGCUGACGAGUGGCGAACGGGUGAGUAAUACAUCGGAACGUGCCUAGUAGAGGGGGAUAACUACUCGAAAGAGUGGCUAAUACCGCAUGAGAUCUACGGAUGAAAGCAGGGGAUCGCAAGACCUUGUGCUACUAGAGCGGCCGAUGGCAGAUUAGGUAGUUGGUGGGAUAAAAGCCUACCAAGCCGACGAUCUGUAGCUGGUCUGAGAGGACGAUCAGCCACACUGGGACUGAGACGCGGCCCAGACUCCUACGGGAGGCAGCAGUGGGGAAUUUUGGACAAUGGGCGCAAGCCUGAUCCAGCAAUGCCGCGUGCAGGAUGAAGGCCUUCGGGUUGUAAACUGCUUUUGUACGGAACGAAAAGCCCCGGGUUAAUACCCUGGGGUCAUGACGGUACCGUAAGAAUAAGCACCGGCUAACUACGUGCCAGCCGCCGCUGUAA
rnacentral:rRNA from 1 species